rnacentral:tRNA from 1 species
GGGUACAGCUCAGUGGUAGAGUGUGUGCUCAGCAUGCACGAAGUCCUGGGUUCAAUCCUCAGUACCUCCA